rnacentral:rRNA from 1 species
AUUGAACGCUGGCGGCAGGCCUAACACAUGCAAGUCGAGCGAGCGGCGGACGGGUGAGUAAUGUCUGGGAAACUGCCUGAUGGAGAGGGAUAAAUACUGGAAACGGUAGCUAAUACCGCAUACCAUCAGAUGUGCCCCGAUGGGAUGAGCUGGUAGGUGGGGUAACGGCUCACCUAGGCGACGAGCCCUAGCUGGUCUGAGAGGAUGACCAGCCACACUGGAACUGAGACACGGUCCAGACUCCUACGGGAGGCAGCAGUGGGGAAUAUGGCACAAUGGGCGCAAGCCUGAUGCAGCCAUGCCGCGUGUGUGAAGAAGGCCUUCGGGUUGUAAAGCACUUUCAGCGGGGAGGCGUUACCCGCAGAAGAAGCACCGGCUAACUCCGUGCCAGCAGCCGCGGUAAUUC